AGCGAACGCUGGCGGCAGGCCUAACACAUGCAAGUCGAACGAACUCUUCGGAGUUAGUGGCGGACGGGUGAGUAACACGUGGGAACGUGCCUUUUGGUUCGGAAUAACUCAGGGAAACUUGUGCUAAUACCGAAUGUGCCCUUCGGGGGAAAGAUUUAUCGCCAUUAGAGCGGCCCGCGUCUGAUUAGCUAGUUGGUGAGGUAACGGCUCACCAAGGCGACGAUCAGUAGCUGGUCUGAGAGGAUGACCAGCCACACUGGGACUGAGACACGGACCCGACUCCUACGGGAGGCAGCAGUGGGGAAUCUUGCGCAAUGGGCGAAAGCCUGACGCAGCCAUGCCGCGUGAAUGAUGAAGGUCUUAGGAUUGUAAAAUUCUUUCACCGGGGACGAUAAUGACGGUACCCGGAGAAGAAGCCCCGGCUAACUUCGUG
rnacentral:rRNA from 1 species